rnacentral:rRNA from 1 species
UGGGGAAUUUUGGACAAUGGACGAAAGCCUGAUCCAGCAAUGCCGCGUGUGUGAAGAAGGCCUUCGGGUUGUAAAGCACUUUUGUCCGGAAAGAAAUCCUUGGCUCUAAUACAGUCGGGGGAUGACGGUACCGGAAGAAUAAGCACCGGCUAACUACGUGCCAGCAGCCGCGGUAAUACGUAGGGUGCAAGCGUUAAUCGGAAUUACUGGGCGUAAAGCGUGCGCAGGCGGUUUGCUAAGACCGAUGUGAAAUCCCCGGGCUCAACCUGGGAACUGCAUUGGUGACUGGCAGGCUAGAGUAUGGCAGAGGGGGGUAGAAUUCCACGUGUAGCAGUGAAAUGCGUAGAGAUGUGGAGGAAUACCGAUGGCGAAGGCAGCCCCCUGGGCCAAUACUGACGCUCAUGCACGAAAGCGUGGGGAGCAAACAGGAUUAGAUACCCUGGUAGUCCACGCCCUAAACGAUGUCAACUAGUUGUUGGGGAUUCAUUUCCUUAGUAACGUAGCUAACGCGUGAAGUUGACCGCCUGGGGAGUACGGUCGCAAGAUU